UUAUAAAUAAAUAUUUAUCCAAAUAUUUAUUAUACAUCUGGGGUACAGCAAAUUAAAAUACCAAGACAACAAUAGGCUCCUAUUAGAAAGCCUAAAAUUCAAUAUACUGACAACAGCAGAUGCUUUAUAGGAUGUGGAGCAACAGGAAUCCAUGCAUUGCUGUGAGAAGUAAAAAAUACUACGGCCACUUUUGAAAACAGGUUAGCAGUUUCUGACAAAGUUAAACAAAUUCUUAACAUGCAAUUCAGAAACAACAUAUCUAGAUAUUUACCUGCAUGAGAUACUUGCAUCACACAAGAACCUGCACAGAAAUGUUUAUAGCUGCUUGGAACACAAUUGCCAAAACAUGAAAAGAAUGAAUGUGUCCUUAAAUAGGUGAAUGGGAUACACAAGCCCUGAUAAUGCAUACAAUGAGAUGUCACUCUGCAAGAAAAAGGCGUUAUAAGGCCACAAGAAGACAUGGAGGAAGACUAUAUGUAUAUUGCUAAGUGAAAGAAACCAAUCUGAAAAGGCUGGAAUUGUGAGGGAGCAGCAGGGAGGGAGGGGCAUGAGUCCUCAGCACCAGCGCCGGCCCACGGGCCACGUGUCUCCUGAAUCCACCAGAUGGCGCUGUGACCUAAGCACCUGCUCACCUGCUCAAGCUCCCCAGCUCCACAGAUGUGAGCCCCUUUUCUCCUGCAUCUGGCAGGUGUUUCUGUGCCCUCUCUGGGUCUCCUCCUUCCUACAGUCUUUCUUUUCCUCAGCUGAAGAUCAUACUGAGGUCAAAGGUGGGGCUUGCACCACCUCUAAAAUGGGGAAGAUUUGCAUGGGGAUUUCCCACCCUGAGCAUUAUAGUGAAAGAUAAGAAGGGCUGGGGCUCAUUCCUGGCUGUGGCUCAGGAAGCAGAGCCUGGGGCGUCUCCACCAUGGCCUGGGCUCCACUCCUCCUCACCCUCCUUGCUCACUGCACAGCUGCCUGCAGGGAAUUCAGGGAGGGCUCCUGGAUGUCACCUGGGAUGAUGACCUCUGCCUUCUCCCUGGGAACCAGCCCUGACCUGUCCUCACUGAUCUCUGUGUUGCCCCUCCUUGCAGGGUCUUGGGCUGAGGUUGUGCUCACUCAGCCCCAUUCUGUGUCGGGGUCUCCGGGGCAGAAGGUCACCAUCUCCUGCACCCGCAGCAGUGGCAGCAUUGACAGUGAAUAUGUGCGCUGGUACCAGCAGCGCCUGGACAGUGCCCCCACCACUGUGAUCUACAAUGAUGACCGAAGGUCCUCUGGGGUCCCUGAUCGGUUCUCUGGCUCCAUCGACAGCUCCUCCAACUCUGCCUCCCUCACCAUCUCUGGGCUGAAGUCUGAGGACGAGGCUGACUAUUACUGUCAGUCUUAUGACAGCGGCGAUUAUCACACAGUGCUCCAGCCUCAUGGGGAAGUGAGACAAAAUCUCCCCUCAAUGUCCCUAUCUUGAUCUGCCCUCAGCCUGUCCCCACCAGCAAGGGCUGCAUUUUCCUGUCUCCUGCUUGAACUUUGGAGUUAAAAUUUUGUUUAUAGUUCCUGUAUUUUCUUUCCAAAGCACAAAUAUUUUCUCCCAAGUCUUGACAGGUGAUCCUCUAAUCCCUUUGUGAUCACUUCAUGGAACACACGUAGUUCAAAACUGUGUUUCUAAACAUUGGCGCUAUUGACAUUGUGGGCUGGAUCAUCCCUUGUGAUGAGGGAAGCUCUCUGCAUCACAGCUCAUUCAAAAACAUCUUCUGUGUCCACAAGUCAGACGCCAGUAGCACCCUGCUCCCUGUUAUGACAAACAAUAAUGAAUCACUAUUUCCCUAUAUGUCCAGGGAGGGUCACACUAGUUUGAGAACAGGAGAAUGUGGAAAAGCUGCAUCUAUUAAGAAGGCUUUGGCAGGCAAUCCCAUUCGCACCAUUCAGCUGGACAUGAGGCUGGAGGCAUUAGCUCUCUGCUUCUGCUUUCCCAUCUGGUAGCAAAACAGGUGCCUCAAACUCAAAUUAUGGUUUCCAUGGAUGGAUCAGGUUCUACGCAAAAUGGGGUCAGAAAACCCAUUACCUGUUCAGAUGGAAUCUUCUCUCACCCACUGUGGAGUAUAACUUUUGGCAAACCAGAUGUGCCAUGAAUACUUUAAAUUUUUAGAGAAAUUUCAUGAAAAUAUAUAGACCUAUCUUUAUUUAUUCUUCCAGGGAGUACUUCUCAAGCACAGGAUACAAAGAUGAAUAAUAAUCUAACACAGGUUCUUGUACCCUCGGAGUUUAGAUUUUAGAAUAUAUGGGAUGACAAACAAGAGCAGUGACAGAGCUGAGUGGACAGUGACGUCCUUCCUUUUCCCAUAGGGCUGGAGCAAAUUUGGUCCCACCUCUACUUUUUUACCCUCGAACCUACAGUGUCCAGUACACCCCCACUAACUACAUGUGGAUGUCUAAAUUUAAAUUACCUGGACGAGAUUAAAAGUUAUAUCUCUCAGUCCCA